rnacentral:rRNA from 1 species
GACGAACGCUGGCGGCGUGCUUAACACAUGCAAGUCGAGCGGAAAGGCCACUUCGGUGGUACUCGAGCGGCGAACGGGUGAGUAACACGUGAGUAAUCUGCCCCUGGCUUUGGGAUAGCCACCGGAAACGGUGAUUAAUACCGGAUACGACCACUUCUCGCAUGGGAUGGUGGUGGAAAGUUUUUUCGGCCAGGGAUGUGCGCGCGGCCUAUCAGCUUGAUGGUGAGGUAAUGGCUCACCAUGGCUUCGACGGGUAGCCGGCCUGAGAGGGUGCCCGUCCACAGUGGGACUGAGACGCGGCCCAGCCUCCUAGGGGAGGCAGCAGUGGGGAAUAUUGGACAAGGGGCGGAAGCCUGAUCCAGCAACGCCGCGUGAGGAAUGACGGCCUUGGGGUUGUAAACCUCUUUCAGCAGGGACGAAGCGCAAGUGACGGUACCUGCAGAAGAAGCACCGGCCAACUACGUGCCAGCCGCCGCCGUAA